AGCAGUGUGGCUCAGUGGAAAGAGCAUGGGCUUGGGAGUCAGAGGUCGUGGGUUCUAAUCCCAGCUCUGCCA
rnacentral:tRNA from 1 species